CAGCCGCCGCGGUAAUACAGAGGGUGCGAGCGUUAAUCGGAUUUACUGGGCGUAAAGCGUGCGUAGGCGGCUAAUUGAGUCGGAUGUGAAAUCCCCGAGCUUAACUUGGGAAUUGCAUUCGAUACUGGUUAGCUAGAGUGUGGGAGAGGAUGGUAGAAUUCCAGGUGUAGCGGUGAAAUGCGUAGAGAUCUGGAGGAAUACCGAUGGCGAAGGCAGCCAUCUGGCCUAAUACUGACGCUGAGGUACGAAAGCAUGGGGAGCAAACAGGAUUAGAUACCCCGGUAGUCCCUGUCUCUUAUAC
rnacentral:rRNA from 1 species